rnacentral:piRNA from 1 species
UGUUCCCUUGGGCCUGACUCGACUGG